rnacentral:rRNA from 1 species
GCCUAAAGCGUCCGUAGCCGGCUCUGUAAGUUUUCGGUUAAAUCCAUAUGCUCAACAUAUGGGCCGCCGGGAAUACUGCAUAGCUAGGGAGUGGGAGAGGUAGACGGUACUCCGUAGGAAGGGGUAAAAUCCUUUGAUCUAUGGAUGACCACCUGUGGCGAAGGCGGUCUACCAGAACACGUUCGACGGUGAGGGAUGAAAGCUGGGGGAGCAAACCGGAUUAGAUACCCGGGUAGUCCCAGCUGUAAACUAUGCAAACUCAGUGAUGCAUUGGCUUGUGGCCAGUGCAGUGCCGCAGAGAAGUCGUUAAGUUUGCCGCCUGGGAAGUACGUACGCAAGUAUGAAACUUAAAGGAAUUGGCGGGGGAGCACCACAAGGGGUGAAGCCUGCGGUUUAAUUGGAGUCAACGCCAGAAAUCUUACCCGGAGAGACAGCAGGAUGAAGGUCAAGCUGAAGACUUUACCAGACAAGCUGAGAAGUGGUGCAUGGCCGUCGCCAGCUCGUGCCGUGAGGUGUCCUGUUAAGUCAGGUAACGAGCGAGAUCCUUGCCUCUAGUUGCCACCAUUACUCUCAGGAGUAGUGGGGCGAAUUAGCGGGACUGCCGUAGUUAAUACGGAGGAAGGAGAGGGCCACGGCAGGUCAGUAUGCCCCGAA